rnacentral:rRNA from 1 species
CAGUAGCCACGGGAAUACGAAGGGUGCAAGCGUUACUCGGAAUUACUGGGCGUAAAGCGUGCGUAGGUGGUGGUUUAAGUCCGUUGUGAAAGCCCUGGGCUCAACCUGGGAAUUGCAGUGGAUACUGGGUCACUAGAGUGUGGUAGAGGAUAGUGGAAUUUCCGGUGUAGCAGUGAAAUGCGUAGAGAUCGGAAGGAACAUCUGUGGCGAAGGCGACUAUCUGGGCCAACACUGACACUGAGGCACGAAAGCGUGGGGAGCAAACAGGAUUAGAUACCCCAGUAGUCCCUGUCUCUUAUAC